CCUGGUGGCUCAGAUGGUAGAGAAUCUGCCUGCAAUGCAGGAGACCUGGGUUCAAUCCCUCAGUCAGG
rnacentral:tRNA from 1 species